ensembl:misc_RNA Metazoa_SRP Metazoan signal recognition particle RNA
GCUGGGUGCGGUGGCACGUGCCUGUAGUCUCAGCUAAUCGGGAGGAUGAGGUGGGAGGAUUGCUUGAACCCAGGAGUUCUGGGCUUUAGUGCCCUAUGCUGAUCCGGUGUCCACACUAAGUUCAGCAUCAGUAUGGUGACCUCCCAGAAGUGGGGAGCCACCAGGUCGCCUAAGGAAGGGUGAACCGGCCCAGGUCAGAAAUGGAGCAGGUCAAAACUCCCAUGCUGAGACUUCCGUAGAAAGGCGGAGAAAGGGAACUGGUGGCUGGGGGAGAAAGAGGAAGCAG